UACGAAGGGUGCAGGCGUUAAUCGGAAUUACUGGGCGUAAAGCGUGCGCAGGCGGUGAUGUAAGACAGGUGUGAAAUCCCCGGGCUUAACCUGGGAACUGCAUUUGUGACUGCAUCGCUGGAGUGCGGCAGAGGGGGAUGGAAUUCCGCGUGUAGCAGUGAAAUGCGUAGAUAUGCGGAGGAACACCGAUGGCGAAGGCAAUCCCCUGGGCCUGCACUGACGCUCAUGCACGAAAGCGUGGGGAGCAAACAGG
rnacentral:rRNA from 1 species